GCCGGUUUAGCUCAGCUGGUAGAGCAACCGCCUUGUAAGCGGUAGGUCGGGGGUUCGAUUCCCUCAACCGGCACCA
rnacentral:tRNA from 1 species